rnacentral:rRNA from 1 species
UACGGAGGGGGCUAGCGUUGUUCGGAAUUACUGGGCGUAAAGCGCGCGUAGGCGGACCUGCAAGUCGGGGGUGAAAGCCCGAGGCUCAACCUCGGAAUUGCCUUCGAUACUGGGUAUCUUGAGUUCGGGAGAGGUGAGUGGAACUCCGAGUGUAGAGGUGAAAUUCGUAGAUAUUCGGAAGAACACCAGUGGCGAAGGCGACUCACUGGCCCGAUACUGACGCUGAUGCGCGAAAGCGUGGGGAGCAAACAGG